UACAAAGGUCUCAAGCGUUGUUCGGAUUCAUUGGGCGUAAAGGGUGCGUAGGCGGCGCGGUAAGUCGGGUGUGAAAUCUUGGAGCUUAACUCCGAAACUGCAUUCGAUACUGCCGUGCUUGAGGACUGGAGAGGAGACUGGAAUUUACGGUGUAGCGGUGAAAUGCGUAGAUAUCGUAAGGAAGACCAGUGGCGAAGGCGGGUCUCUGGACAGUUCCUGACGCUGAGGCACGAAGGCCAGGGGAGCAAACGGG
rnacentral:rRNA from 1 species